rfam:Termitomyces sp. J132 unplaced genomic scaffold scaffold43, whole genome shotgun sequence.
GGCACUAUAGUGUAGUGGUUAUCACUCGGGAUUUUGACUUGAUGGAAUCUUCCCGAAACCCAGGUUCGAACCCUGGUAGCGCCU